ACCUCGUUUGCGCAGCAGGCAGCGCAUCAGUCUCAUAAUCUGAAGGUUGUGAGUUCGAUCCUCACACGGGGCA
rnacentral:tRNA from 1 species